UACGGAAGGCAGCAGGGGGGAAUCUUGCGCAAUGGGCGAAAGCCUGACGCAGCCAUGCCGCGUGAAUGAUGAAGGUCUUAGGAUUGUAAAAUUCUUUCACCGGGGACGAUAAUGACGGUACCCGGAGAAGAAGCCCCGGCUAACUUCGUGCCAGCAGCCGCGGUAAUACGAAGGGGCUAGCGUUGCUCGGAAUUACUGGGCGUAAAGGGCGCGUAGGCGGAUCGUUAAGUCAGAGGUGAAAUCCCAGGGCUCAACCCUGGAACUGCCUUUGAUACUGGCGAUCUUGAGUAUGAGAGAGGUAUGUGGAACUCCGAGUGUAGAGGUGAAAUUCGUAGAUAUUCGGAAGAACACCAGUGGCGAAGGCGACAUACUGGCUCAUUACUGACGCUGAGGGCGCGAAAGCGUGGGGAGCAAACAGGGAUUAGAUACC
rnacentral:rRNA from 1 species